UCUACAAUGGUCUAGUUGGUUAUGGUGUCUGUCUUCUGCUCUAGUCAGUUGACAGCAGGAGGUUUUGGGUUCAAUUCCUGCUCUUAACC